AUUAAUUCUUGAUUGUGUAAUAUCUCUAGCUUUGUUUUCUAUAGAGUUAUAAGUGAUUGUUUAGAAUUUGCUUAGCUUCUUCUCCAUUCUUACCAUACACAUAGAUUAAAAUUGAUCAUACAACUAUAAGUUAAUUUUAGAUCAAUUGCACCCUAAGGCCAUAGUAUAAUUGCUCUAGCUUAAUUUUCCACUACUUUACUUGUAAUUGCCUAGAGCUUAAGUAAAUAACAUCUUAUCAUUCCGCUGCAUUCAAUUUAAAGUAAAAAUUAGGGAACAUAAUUUUUAGAAAACCCAAUUCACCCCCUCUCUUGGGUUGUCACCUUGGGCAACAAGUGGUAUCAGAGCAGGUGCUCUUCUAUUAAUUAUAGUCUUAACCGACUAGAGCUAAAGAUUAUGACAACCCCACAUA
rnacentral:lncRNA from 1 species